rnacentral:rRNA from 1 species
GACGAACGCUGGCGGCGUGCUUAACACAUGCAAGUCGAACGGUAAGGCCCUUCGGGGUACACGAGUGGCGAACGGGUGAGUAACACGUGGGUGAUCUGCCCUGCACUUCGGGAUAAGCCUGGGAAACUGGGUCUAAUACCGGAUAGGACCACUGCCUGCAUGGGUGGUGGUGGAAAGCUUUUGCGGUGUGGGAUGGGCCCGCGGCCUAUCAGCUUGUUGGUGGGGUGAUGGCCUACCAAGGCGACGACGGGUAGCCGGCCUGAGAGGGUGACCGGCCACAGUGGGACUGAGAUACGGCCCAGACUCCUACGGGAGGCAGCAGUGGGGAAUAUUGCACAAUGGGCGCAAGCCUGAUGCGGCGACGCCGCGUGAGGGAUGACGGCCUUCGGGUUGUAAACCUCUUUCAGCACCGACGAAGCGCAAGUGACGGUAGGUGCAGAAGAAGGACCGGCCAACUACGUGCCAGCCGCCGCCGCGG